UUUUAGGCACAACAUGGUCAUCCCAUGGCCUUUUUGGAGUAGAGAUAACCCUGGCCCGGUAACCAUGGCAAUAAAGUGGGUAAGCAAAUCUUUCAUAUCUUGAGCAUGGUGGACAUCACUCCAUGAACAGGGAAGGUCAAGACUGUGCUCGACACCUGCUGAGAGAUGUGAAGAUAGAAAAAAAUAAAAUCUGUCAGGACUCUUCCUUAAGUACUUCUUCGUGUGAAACAGAAGUCUGAUUUAGCACUUGUCAUUCAGAACUUCCACAUCUUGGCCUGUCACCCACUUAGACAUGUAAAUAAAUGUUGAUCAUAUGCACAGCUGAACACUGGGGAAGUGAACAUUCCGUUAAACGCAUUGAGUGAAGAACACACUGGAGGGCUUAAUGGUAUCGGUCUGGUUACUGACGGUUAACCUCAUCCUACCUACAGCCUUGAAGCAUAAUGAGAAAGACCAGGUAUCAUCAUGGUCUGGAGCACACAGAACCUGCAGAAUCUAUGUCAAAUCAACGGAAACGCGUUUCAUUGUCUACUCAUUAUCCCACUUUAAGAGAGGAUGGAGAUGGAUAAAAAGGCAUCCAAGGCAUCUAGGGGAAAAAACUGAGACACAAAAUGAGCAUCUUCAGAACUCGCUGUGUGAAACGGUUUGCAAGAACUUGUGGGUGGAAAAUGUGGUCCCUCAGAGCAAUGUGUGUUCCAUUUUUGCUAGGCCUGCGUUAAAGUCACAUUUAGCCCAAGAAGCAGUGUGAGCAACAUUUCCCCAUGGACAGUAGAGACCUGGUCAGCUUCAAUCAUCAUAUGGGGACAGUGAUAAAGGAUUUGAAUCAUGACGAGCACCUGGUACAAGGGAAAAUGACUAGAAACUAAGUCCACAAAUGGGAAGCAGUUAAGCAAGGGGUAAAAUGCAGAGCAACAGGAAUGAAACGAGAACAGGCUGAUCUAACAAAGAAUGACUCACUGUGCUGCUUAUGCCUCAGAAAUCCACUGUCUCCUGGCUCUGGGAACGGGAGAGCUAAGCUUUCUGGGUUGACACACAGUUGUAUUCAUUUUGAGGACUGUGGAAUGAUCCCGCCCAUUCCUCCAUUUGGAUAAUGUAGUCGUAAUGUUUUUGUGCACUGUGUAAAGGUUAUCCUUGUGUUAUUCAAAUGCUGAUUUCUCUGCCCUCCUAUCUUAUUUCAGUGAGGAAAAGGCAUUGCAAUGCUCAUAUCAAGAAACU
rnacentral:lncRNA from 1 species